rnacentral:rRNA from 1 species
AACGCGAAGAACCUUACCCACGGCUUGACAUGCAGUGGACCGCACCAGAGAUGGUGCUUCCCUUCGGGGCCGGCUGCACAGGUGCUGCAUGGCUGUCGUCAGCUCGUGCCGUGAGGUGUUUGGUUAAGUCCAGCAACGAGCGCAACCCUUAUCACUAGUUGCCAACACUUAGGGUGGGAACUCUAGUGAGACUGCCUGGGUGAACCAGGAGGAAGGUGAGGAUGACGUCAAGUCCGCAUGGCCCUUAUGUCUGGGGCAACACACGUGCUACAAUGGUCGGUACAGAAGGCAGCGAAGUCGCGAGAUGAAGCAAAUCCCGAAAGCCGGCCUCAGUUCAGAUUGUAGUCUGCAACUCGGCUACAUGAAGAUGGAAUUGCUAGUAAUGGCGAGUCAGCACAUCGCCGUGAAUACGUUCCCGGGCCUUGUACACACCGAGUAUA